rnacentral:rRNA from 1 species
AGCGAACGCUGGCGGCAGGCUUAACACAUGCAAGUCGAGCGGGCAUCCUUGUGGUGUCAGCGGCAGACGGGUGAGUAACGCGUGGGAACGUGCCCUUCGGUUCGGAAUAACUCAGGGAAACUUGAGCUAAUACCGGAUACGUGCGAGAGCAGAAAGGUUUAUCUGCCGAAGGAUCGGCCCGCGUCUGAUUAGCUAGUUGGUGAGGUUACGGCUCACCAAGGCGACGAUCAGUAGCUGGUCUGAGAGGAUGAUCAGCCACACUGGGACUGAGACACGGCCCAGACUCCUACGGGAGGCAGCAGUGGGGAAUAUUGGACAAUGGGGGCAACCCUGAUCCAGCCAUGCCGCGUGAGUGAUGACGGCCUUAGGGUUGUAAAGCUCUUUUCUCCUGGACGAUAAUGACGGUACCGGAGGAAUAAGCCCCGGCUAACUUCGUG